rnacentral:ncRNA from 1 species
CCUGGGCUUCCAUUUCACGAUCAGACAGGCCACCGCAAAUCUGGAUAAUACGGUCAGACAGCGUCGACUUACCGUGGUCAAUGUGAGCAAUGAUCGAAAAGUUACGUAUGUUCUUCAUAUAGUUAAAUAAUUAUGCCUUACGAAUUCCUGGAGGCCGCUGUUCUUAGCCUGACGUUUUUCAGUGCGAAAACGCAGCAUUCUACACUACAUCUCCGUUACCUGGAAAUGCACUUAGCGCCAGGUAUAGCGUGAAGAAAUGGCGUUUUCUUUUUUAAGAUGUAAAUGAUGAUAAAGCCCGAUGGAUCACCGGGCCUCAGAGGAGAGCGUCUCAACACGAAGUUGGUCUGGUGCCAGCCCUACGCUGAGAAUAACAGGCUGCCACGCUUCGCGGGCUGCGAGCCUUGGGGAGAAACCUUUGGCAAGCCAGAAACCACCCACACCUCCCAAUGCAGCGCCGCACAUAGCCGCCGCAUCGGUACCAAACAGCAUCUGAAACACGCCGCCCAUCACAAAGAGCCCCACCAGAGGGGAGAGAUAAACCAGCAUUGCGGAACCCAGCAGGCUGCCUUCGGCAAUGCCCAGUUCCACCUUCUGUCCUGCCACCAGCGGUUGCUCACUUGGCACGGAAAGCGUGUGCGAGGUUUGCGGCCCGAGCUUAUUUAGCACGCGGCUGCCGCAACCCGCCCGGGAUGCACAACUGUUACAGGAGGCCUUUACAUCACAGCUUACCAGCGCAACACCGUCCUGCCAUGAUACAACCGUAGCCCACUCUUUAAUCAUUGUGCAGCCCUGAAUUUGAUGCUGUCAGAAAUACG